AGAGCGAACGCUGGCGGCAGGCUUAACACAUGCAAGUCGAACGGAUCCUUCGGGAUUAGUGGCGGACGGGUGAGUAACACGUGGGAACGCGCCUUUUGGUUCGGAACAACUCAGGGAAACUUGAGCUAAUACCGGAUGUGCCCUUCGGGGGAAAGAUUUAUCGCCAUUAGAGCGGCCCGCGUCUGAUUAGCUAGUUGGUGAGGUAAAGGCCCACCAAGGCUACGAUCAGUAGCUGGUCUGAGAGGAUGACCAGCCACAUUGGGACUGAGACACGGCCCAAACUCCUACGGGAGGCAGCAGUGGGGAAUCUUGCGCAAUGGGCGAAAGCCUGACGCAGCCAUGCCGCGUGAAUGAUGAAGGUCUUAGGAUUGUAAAAUUCUUUCACCGGGGACGAUAAUGACGGUACCCAGAGAAGAAGCCCCGGCUAACUUCGCGCCAGCAGCCGC
rnacentral:rRNA from 1 species